CCUGCCAGUAGUUAUACGCUUGUUUCAAAGAUUAAGCCAUGCACGUGUAAGUAUAAUCUCACGAGAAACUGCGAAUGGCUCAUUAAAUCAGUUAUAGUUUAUUUGAUAGUGGAGUUUUACAUGGAUAACCGUAGAAAUUCUAGAGCUAAUACAUGCGUCAAGACCCGACUUUGCGGAAGGGUUGUAUUUAUUAGAUUCAAAACCAGCGGCAGGGCAACCUGUCUUGUGUGGUGAUUCAUAAUAACUGAGCGGAUCGCAUAGGGGGCCUGAGAAAUGGCCACCACAUCCAAGGAAGGCAGCAGGCGCGUAAAUUACCCAAUACCGACACGGUGAGGUAGUGACAAUAAAUAACAAUGCGGGCUCUUACGAGCUCCGUAAUUGGAAUGAGUACAAUUUAAAAACCUUAACGAGAACCCAUUGGAGGGCAAGUCUGGUGCCAGCAGCCGCGGUAAUUCCAGCUCCAAUAGCGUAUAUUAAAGUUGCUGCAGUUAAAAAGCUCGUAGUUGGAUUUGGAGGGGUGAAGCAAAGGGGUGGGGCCCUCCGGGGCGCCGCCCUGCACCUCUUUGCCCGCAAGGGCAGAUGCCCGAUGAUUGGCGGCGUGCCCUUGAGUGGGUGCGGCGACAAGUCGGGGAGUUUACUUUGAAAAAAUUAGAGUGUUCAAAGCAGGCUUUUCAAUGCUUGGAUAGAUUAGCAUGGGAUAAUGGAAAACGAUUUUGGUCGAGUUUUGUUGGUGUUUGGUGACCGAAGUAAUGAUUAAUAGGGAUAGUUGGGGGCAUUAGUAUUUAAUUGUCAGAGGUGAAAUUCUUGGAUUUAUGAAAGACUAACUACUGCGAAAGCAUUUGUCAAAGAUGUUUUCAUUAAUCAAGAACGAAAGUUAGGGGAUCGAAGACGAUUAGAUACCGUCGUAGUCUUAACCAUAAACGAUGCCGACUAGGGACCAGUGGAGUGCGGGGGUCCGCAAGGGCAGCCGCGUGUGUGAAUGCAAAUGAGCACAGCAUUGGGACCUUUAUGAGAAAUCGAUAAGUUUUUGGGUUCUGGGGGGAGUAUGGUCGCAAGGCUGAAACUUAAAGGAAUUGACGGAAGGGCACACAAGGAGUGGAGCCUGCGGCUUAAUUUGACCCAACACGGGGAAACU
rnacentral:rRNA from 1 species